rnacentral:tRNA from 1 species
GGCUCGUUGGUCUAGGGGUACGAUUCUCGCUUACAGUGCGAGAGGUCCCGGGUUCAAAUCCCGGACGAGCCC